CGUGGCUUCCGGAGCUAACGCGUUAAGUCGACCGCCUGGGGAGUACGGCCGCAAGGUUAAAACUCAAAUGAAUUGACGGGGGCCCGCACAAGCGGUGGAGCAUGUGGUUUAAUUCGAUGCAACGCGAAGAACCUUACCUGGUCUUGACAUCCACAGAACUUUCCAGAGAUGGAUUGGUGCCUUCGGGAACUGUGAGACAGGUGCUGCAUGGCUGUCGUCAGCUCGUGUUGUGAAAUGUUGGGUUAAGUCCCGCAACGAGCGCAACCCUUAUCCUUUGUUGCCAGCGGUCCGGCCGGGAACUCAAAGGAGACUGCCAGUGAUAAACUGGAGGAAGGUGGGGAUGACGUCAAGUCAUCAUGGCCCUUACGACCAGGGCUACACACGUGCUACAAUGGCGCAUACAAAGAGAAGCGACCUCGCGAGAGCAAGCGGACCUCAUAAAGUGCGUCGUAGUCCGGAUUGGAGUCUGCAACUCGACUCCAUGAAGUCGGAAUCGCUAGUAAUCGUGGAUCAGAAUGCCACGGUGAAUACGUUCCCGGGCCUUGUACACACCGCCCGUCACACCAUGGGAGUGGGUUGCAAAAGAAGUAGGUAGCUUAACCUUCGGGAGGGCGCUUACCACUUUGUGAUUCAUGACUGGGGUGAAGUCGUAACAAGGUAACCGUAGGGGAACCUGCGGUUGGAUCACCUCCUU
rnacentral:rRNA from 1 species